rnacentral:rRNA from 1 species
UACGGGGGGGGCAAGCGUUGUUCGGAAUUACUGGGCGUAAAGGGCUCGUAGGUGGCUAACUAAGUCAGACGUGAAAUCCCCCGGCUUAACCGGGGAACUGCGUCUGAUACUGGAUGGCUAGAGUGUGGGAGAGGGAUGCGGAAUUCCAGGUGUAGCGGUGAAAUGCGUAGAUAUCUGGAGGAACACCGGUGGCGAAGGCGGCAACCUGGACCGAUAUUGACGCUGAGGCGCGAAAGCCAGGGGAGCAAACGGG